rnacentral:rRNA from 1 species
CUUGACACUGAACAUUGAGCCUUGAUGUGUAGGAUAGGUGGGAGGCUUUGAAGCGUGGACGCCAGUCUGCGUGGAGCCGACCUUGAAAUACCACCCUUUAAUGUUUGAUGUUCUAACGUGGACCCGUGAUCCGGGUUGCGGACAGUGUCUGGUGGGUAGUUUGACUGGGGCGGUCUCCUCCUAAAGAGUAACGGAGGAGCACGAAGGUUGGCUAAUCCUGGUCGGACAUCAGGAGGUUAGUGCAAUGGCAUAAGC